AUCUACGGCCAUGCCACCCUGAACAAGCCCGAACCCGUCUGAUCUCCUAAGCUAAGCAGGGUCAGGACUGGUUAGUACUUGGAUGGGAGACCGUCUAGGAAGACCAGGUGCUGUAGAUG
rnacentral:rRNA from 1 species